rnacentral:rRNA from 1 species
UACGAAGGGGGCUAGCGUUGUUCGGAAUCACUGGGCGUAAAGGGCGCGUAGGCGGCUUUAUAAGUCGGGGGUGAAAGCCUGUGGCUCAACCACAGAAUUGCCUUCGAUACUGUAUGGCUUGAGACCGGAAGAGGUAAGUGGAACUGCGAGUGUAGAGGUGAAAUUCGUAGAUAUUCGCAAGAACACCAGUGGCGAAGGCGGCUUACUGGUCCGGUUCUGACGCUGAGGCGCGAAAGCGUGGGGAGCAAAAGGG